rnacentral:rRNA from 1 species
UAGGGAAUCUUCGGCAAUGGACGAAAGUCUGACCGAGCAACGCCGCGUGAGUGAAGAAGGUUUUCGGAUCGUAAAACUCUGUUGUUAGAGAAGAACAAGGACGUUAGUAACUGAACGUCCCCUGACGGUAUCUAACCAGAAAGCCACGGCUAACUACGUGCCAGCAGCCGCGGUAAUACGUAGGUGGCAAGCGUUGUCCGGAUUUAUUGGGCGUAAAGCGAGCGCAGGCGGUUUCUUAAGUCUGAUGUGAAAGCCCCCGGCUCAACCGGGGAGGGUCAUUGGAAACUGGGAGACUUGAGUGCAGAAGAGGAGAGUUGAAUUCCAUGUGUAGCGGUGAAAUGCGUAGAUAUAUGGAGGAACACCAGUGGCGAAGGCGGCUCUCUGGUCUGUAACUGACGCUGAGGCUCGAAAGCGUGGGGAGCAAACAGG